GGCUAGCUAGCUUGCAUGAGAAAAGCAGUAAAAAAAAGAUGGAAAAAGAUGGAAAAAAAAAGGAAGGAGAAGAUCCAUUAAACAAGAAGAACAAUUGGAUGAGAGGAAGAAUCUUUGUCAAAAAAGCAGUUGAAUAUGGCAUCUCACACACACAUGCACUCUGAGACUGCAUAGUUGUAAUCUUGGGAUCUGGAGCUGGUUGCUGGUUGCUAGCAAUGCCAUGCCAUGCCUUGCCAUGCCACACUGUUGAUGUCAUUAUUGAUGCUGCAUGCCUCGUAUACUUUGUUAGUUUAAGGGGAGAGAGAGAGAGAAAAGAGAGCUUGUUAAUACUAACUGUCCUGUUUGACCCUGGGGAGAGAGGGUAUUAGGUCUGAGAUUAGCCUACCUUUGCUUUGCCAUUGCAUCACAUGGGACUAGAAUAUAUGUGUGCUUGGGCUGGCUCUUUUGAUGAAAGUUUGAUCACUUGAUUACCAUUAGACUGGCUGCUUUUGUUUAGGGCUUUAUCCUGAUCAACUUGCCAAAUGGUACGUUGUUUUUUUUUUUUGGGUUAGUACUGGUUGGGAGUUG
rnacentral:lncRNA from 1 species